UACGAAGGGGGCUAGCGUUGUUCGGAAUUACUGGGCGUAAAGCGCGCGCAGGCGGUCUUCCAAGUCAGUGGUGAAAGCCUGGAGCUCAACUCCAGAACUGCCAUUGAAACUGUUAGACUUGAGUACGAGAGAGGUGAGUGGAAUUCCCAGUGUAGGGGUGAAAUUCGUAGAUAUUGGGAAGAACACCGGUGGCGAAGGCGGCUCACUGGCUCGUAACUGACGCUCAGGCGCGACAGCGUGGGGAUCAAACAGG
rnacentral:rRNA from 1 species